rnacentral:misc_RNA from 1 species
GAUGAAGAACGUAGCGAAAUGCGAUAAGUAGUGUGAAUUGCAGAAUUCAGUGAAUCAUCGAAUCUUUGAACGCACAUUGCGCCCCUUGGUAUCCCGAGGGGCAUGCCUGUUCGAGCGUCUUUUCACCACUCAAGCCUGGCUUGGUGUUGGGCGACGUCCUCUUUGGGGACGCGCCUCGAAACGCUCGGCGGCGUGGCACCGGCUUUAAGCGUAGCAGAAUCUUUCGCUUUGGAAGUCGGGGCCCCGUCUGCCGGAAGACCUGCUCGCAAGGUUGACCUCGGAUCAGGCAGGGAUACCCGCUGAACUUAAGCAUAUCAAUAAGCGGAGGA